GACGGGGGAGGCAAGCGUUGUCCGGAAUUAUUGGGCGUAAGGAGCGCGUAGGUGGUUUGUCAAGUCAUUUGUGAAAACUUUAGGCUUAACUUAAAGAUUGCAAGUGAUACUGGCAUACUUGAGCACAGCGGAGGAAAGUGGAAUUCCUGGUGUAGCGGUGAAAUGCGCAGAUAUCAGGAAGAACACCAGUGGCGAAGGCGGCUUUCUGGGCUGUUGCUGACACUGAGGCGCGAAAGCUAGGGGAGCAAACAGG
rnacentral:rRNA from 1 species